GGAAGGGUGCAGGAGUGGUUGAACUGGCACGCCUGGAACGCGUGUAAAGGAGCAAUCCUUUCGAGGGUUCGAAUCCCUCUCCUUCCGCCA
rnacentral:tRNA from 1 species